AAGGCUCUUUGUUCUUUACCUAGGUCGACGUUUAUUUCUUUCUGAACUUUCCUGGAGGAUCAUCGGCCAUACUCCAGCAGAAGGGUGGAUUUGAAAAAAUAACUUCUCUCUGUUUGCAUCCUGUUCAUCUGCUGGCAUUCCUUCAGGCUCCUUACGCCGACAUAGUCUGUCCUGUAUUGAACAGUGUCCUCCAAGAGGAAUGUUGAAGUCCUCAGCCCUGGUAGCUGUGAUGUGAUCUCACAUGGGAAUUGGGUCUUAGUAGAUGUAAUCGAAUUAAGAUGAGGUUAUUAGGGUGGAUCCUAAUCUGACCGGUGGUCUUACAAGAAAAGGAAAGCACCAUGUAAAGAUUCACACAGAGACAAGAUAGCCAUGUGACAACGGAGAGAGAAGUUGGAGUGAUGCAUCUUCAAAUCCAGGAACGCUAAGGAUUGAUGGCAAAUACCAGAAGCUAGAAGAGGAAGAGGCAAGGAAGGAUUCUCCUCUACAGAUUUUAGAGAGAACAUGGCCCUGACAACUGCUCGAUUUCAGACUUCUAGCCU
rnacentral:lncRNA from 1 species